rnacentral:rRNA from 1 species
GCAAGACCUAGUCCUAAAACACAACUAAUCAAACUAUCUGACCAACCCUUCAAAACAUUAAUUAAUCUUACUAUAGGUGAUAGAACAGAUAUUAAUAGGCACUAUAAGGAAAGUACCGUGAGGGAAAUUUGAAAGAUCCUUUAAAAACCUGCAAGAUUACACCUUAUACCUUUUGCAUAAUGAUUUAGCUAGUCUAACCGGACAAAAAGAAUUAAAGCCCGUCCUCCCGAAAUUAAGUGAGCUAUUGUAGAACAGUUGACAGAACGAACUCGUCUAUGUGGCAAAAUAGUGAGAUGAUUUUACAAUAGAGGUGAAAAGCCUAUCCGAACUUAAUGAUAGCUGGUUGCCCAAAAAACGAAUUUAAGUUCAACUUUAAAUUUAAUUAAAGUACCAAUAAACCUGACUUAAAUUUAAAUGAUACUCAAAAGGGGGACAUCUCUUUUGAUACGUAAACAAACUUAUUUAGAGGAUAAUGAAAAUCUUACAAAAUCAUUGUAGGCCUAAAAGCAGCCACCAAUUAAGAAAGCGUUAAAGCUCAAACUUAUAUAAUACUUAAUUCCAAGAAUCCAUCAAAAUCCCUAAAAUAAAUAUUGGGCAAUUCUAUAAUUAUAUAGAAGAUAUAAUGCUAAUAUUAGUAACAUGAAUUAAUUCUCCUUGCAUAAACAUAAUUUAGCCUGGAACACCCACUACUACUUAAUCAAACUAAUAGAUAAACCCAUAUACUAGCCUUCUAUUACAAUCAUUGUUAACCCAACCCAGGCAUGCACUUAAGGAAAGAUUAAAAGGAAUAAAAGGAACUCGGCAAACACAAGCCCCGCCUGUUUACCAAAAACAUCACCUCUAGCAUUAACAAGUAUUAGAGGCACUGCCUGCCCGGUGAGUUCUCACUUUAACGGCCGCGGUAUCCUGACCGUGCAAAGGUAGCAUAAUCACUUGUCUCUUAAAUGGGGACUAGUAUGAAUGGCAUCACGAGGCCUUAACUGUCUCUUAUUCCCAAUCAGUGAAAUUGACCUUCCCGUGCAGAGGCGGGAAUAAUAAUACAAGACGAGAAGACCCUGUGGAGCUUAAGACUCACAACUCAACGCAUACCCUUGCUUACCCUACUGGAACAAAAAUGUAUAAUGCCAUGAAUUGUAGUCUUUGGUUGGGGUGACCUCGGAGCAUAGAACAACCUCCGAAUGAAAUAACCCAAGAUUUACCCAUCUAAGUGUACCACUACCAGUAAUUGACCCAUCUUUUGAUCAACGGAACAAGUUACCCCAGGGAUAACAGCGCAAUCCUAUUUGAGAGCUCAUAUCGAAAAUUAGGGUUUACGACCUCGAUGUUGGAUCAGGACAUCCAAAUGGUGCAGCCGCUAUUAAUGGUUCGUUUGUUCAACGAUUAAAGUCCUACGUGAUCUGAGUUCAGACCGGAGAAAUCCAGGUCGGUUUCUAUCUGUACGUGAUUUCUCCCAGUACGAAAGGACAAGAGAAAUGGGGCCAACAUAUCCAAUG